AUAUAAAGCACCAGAUGUAGUGUCACGACCCAAACCGAAGGGCUGCGACAGGCACCCGGUACCUUACUCAACCGAGUACCAACGUAACGUAUCUUUCUUAUUACAUUAUCAUAUACACAUGACAUUUGGGCCUAAUAGGCCAACAUGAUUAUUUAUAAACCCAAGACAUCGGCCGACAAGGCCGUACAAUCUUUCACGUACAUGACAUAUAUCUACAAGCCUCUAAGAAUACAUAAAUGUCAUAAAGGUCGGGACAGAUUCCCGCCAUACCAAACAAUACACGUCUAAAUCAUACCAGCUAAAUAAGCAGCUCUAAAGCAAAUAGAGCGCACCAACAUCUUCCGCUGAGCUGAUAGCCUACACGGAGGGCUCUCGACUGUCUAUCGGGACCUGCGGGCAUGAAACGCAACGUCCCCAGAAAAAAAGGGACGUCAGUACGAAUAAUGUACCGAGUAUGUAAGGCACAUAAAUAAGUACAUAAGAGAUAUGGAAGAAAUAUAGAGUGCAUGACUCAACCUGUAAGUCUGAAUAACUUUGCAAAUCAUAAAUUACUUUUAGCGUCAUGCAUAUGCGUAUGACUGUUAUGUCGUGCAUAGGUACAUAUUUCAUAACAUCAUCAUCCUCUGAGGGCAUCUCGUCAUAUCAUAUCGGCCACUGUAGGCAAAAUCAUCAUUGUAUACUAGCUGAUCAGGUGGUGGUGCGUAUAUAACGCCAUAACCUUUCCCAUAUCCCAUAUACAUAUAUAUACAUACAUAUAUAUGCGUAUAUAACUCCGUUUGAGUACAUACAUACAUAUAUAUAUGCGUAUAACGCCGUUUGUAGCAUAUUUCAGCCACUGUGGGCAACAUCAUCAUCAUAUANNNNNNNNNNNNNNNNNNNNNUCCCAUAUCCCAUAUACAUAUAUCUACAUAUAUACGUGUAUAUAAUGUCAUCUGGUCAUGGGUCAAUGCACAUGAACGCAAUGCAUGUAAAGUACAUCAAUAAAAUCAUUCGGAAUGUCAUAAGAACAUUUUGCCUCUUGAGCAAUAUCAUAAAGUAACAUCUUUUCAACUUUCGUAUUUUUCUGAGACCCAUGAACAGAUGAUAAAAUAUUAUGACACAUGAAAAUUAAAUAACAUAUAUAUUUCUAUUACUUUUAUGAGUAGAGUCACUUAUGUAAUUUGUGCAUUUGCACGUUUUGUUCAUAUCGUAUGUAUCAUGCCAAAAGAAAGAAGGGAUAACCUUAACAUACCUGUUCUUGAAUUAUUUGAACAAAAUGAAGCUUUCUACUUCUUGCGAAAUAUGAACGAACCUAUGCUUGGAUUGAACAAAAUUAGACUGAAAUUUUGAUCAAAAUUUUUGAAUUUGUUGAACGAAAUGAUUCUGUUGGUUCAAGACAGAAUAUAAAUGUUUGGUUUCACGUUUUUGGUUCAAGACAAAAAUGCAAAUGCUUGUUUGAUCUUGAAUUGUCUUGAAUACAAAUGUUUGGUUUUACGUUUUUGGUUCAAGACAAAACUGUAAAUGCUUGUUUGAAAUGGAAUUUUUGCUUUUGCCUAAUGUCUUGCCCUUUUAAGCCAAAGGCAGAUUUGGCUUAGCCCUUUUCAAGAAAUUUCAUGGAUUCUAUUCAAUUCUUAUCAAGAUUUUGACUUAGUCAUUAUUUUGUUACUACAUGAUAGCCAUCUGGC
rnacentral:lncRNA from 1 species